rnacentral:other from 1 species
GUUUCACUGGCGGUGUGGCUUAUAAGUCUGAGCCGAUACCAUCUGAACGGGAGUUUAGCUAUUUUGGUUGUGUGAAUCCCUUUGUGGGAUACCUGAUAUCAAGAUGCGGCGCCCACCUUGUUGUAAAGGGUUCAGUGUUUAUAGGCCACAACGCCAGUGAAAUA